rnacentral:rRNA from 1 species
GUACGUACAAGCAGUGGGAGCACGCUUAGGCGUGUGACUGCGUACCUUUUGUAUAAUGGGUCAGCGACUUAUAUUCUGUAGCAAGGUUAACCGAAUAGGGGAGCCGAAGGGAAACCGAGUCUUAACUGGGCGUUAAGUUGCAGGGUAUAGACCCGAAACCCGGUGAUCUAGCCAUGGGCAGGUUGAAGGUUGGGUAACACUAACUGGAGGACCGAACCGACUAAUGUUGAAAAAUUAGCGGAUGACUUGUGGCUGGGGGUGAAAGGCCAAUCAAACCGGGAGAUAGCUGGUUCUCCCCGAAAGCUAUUUAGGUAGCGCCUCGUGAAUUCAUCUCCGGGGGUAGAGCACUGUUUCGGCAAGGGGGUCAUCCCGACUUACCAACCCGAUGCAAACUGCGAAUACCGGAGAAUGUUAUCACGGGAGACACACGGCGGGUGCUAACGUCCGUCGUGAAGAGGGAAACAACCCAGACCGCCAGCUAAGGUCCCAAAGUCAUGGUUAAGUGGGAAACGAUGUGGGAAGGCCCAGACAGCCAGGAUGUUGGCUUAGAAGCAGCCAUCAUUUAAAGAAAGCGUAAUAGCUCACUGGUCGAGUCGGCCUGCGCGGAAGAUGUAACGGGGCUAAACCAUGCACCGAAGCUGCGGCAGCGACGCUGAUGCGUUGUUGGGUA